rnacentral:lncRNA from 1 species
CAUGAAUAUUAUACAAUUACUGUCUUUUGAUGAGGUAAAUAUGCGGUUUUAUUGACUUUUGAAAAAAUGAUAUUCACUGAGGCCGACGGCCGAAGUGAAUAUCAGUUUUUCAAAAGUCAAUAAAACCCCAUAUUUACCGAAACAAAAGACAGUAAUUGUUUUAUUCCAUAGUCCGAGAGAAGAAAAUGUAUCUAAUGACAAACAUAUACCAAUUUUUUUUUUACAUGAAAUUUUACCAUGACGUUGCAUGUAAAAGCGCGUGACGUUUAGCGCCGUGAAUAACACUUUCACAGGUGAAUAUGCUUUUUUAUUCAAAAUCCAAUUCAUAUAGAAAAGCCUAC